rnacentral:rRNA from 1 species
UACGUAGGGCGCAAGCGUUAUCCGGAAUUAUUGGGCGUAAAGAGCUCGUAGGCGGUUUGUCGCGUCUGCCGUGAAAGUCCGGGGCUCAACUCCGGAUCUGCGGUGGGUACGGGCAGACUAGAGUGAUGUAGGGGAGACUGGAAUUCCUGGUGUAGCGGUGAAAUGCGCAGAUAUCAGGAGGAACACCGAUGGCGAAGGCAGGUCUCUGGGCAUUAACUGACGCUGAGGAGCGAAAGCAUGUGGAGCGAACAGG